rnacentral:tRNA from 1 species
GGGCAUUUGGUCUAGUGGUAUGAUUCUCGCUUUGGGUGCGAGAGGUCCCGAGUUCCCGAGUUCGAUUCUCGGAAUGCCCC